GGUCGGAUGGCCGAGAGGUUAGGCAGAGCUCUGCAAAAGCUCGUACAGCGGUUCAAAUCCGCUUCCGACCU
rnacentral:tRNA from 1 species